rnacentral:rRNA from 1 species
UACGGAAGGCAGCAGUGGGGAAUAUUGCACAAUGGGCGCAAGCCUGAUGCAGCCAUGCCGCGUGUAUGAAGAAGGCCUUCGGGUUGUAAAGUACUUUCAGUCGUGAGGAAGGUGUUAAGGUUAAUAACCUUAGCAAUUGACGUUAGCGACAGAAGAAGCACCGGCUAACUCCGUGCCAGCAGCCGCGGUAAUACGGAGGGUGCGAGCGUUAAUCGGAAUUACUGGGCGUAAAGGGCACGCAGGCGGUUAAUUAAGUUGGAUGUGAAAUCCCCGGGCUUAACCUGGGAAUGGCAUUCAAGACUGGUUAGCUAGAGUCUUGUAGAGGGGGUAGAAUUCCAUGUGUAGCGGUGAAAUGCGUAGAGAUGUGGAGGAAUACCGGUGGCGAAGGCGGCCCCUGGACGAAAGAACUGACGCUCAUGUGCGAAAGACGUGGGGAGCAAACAGGAUUAGUAUACC